AUUUAUAUAUAAUAUAAAAAACAGUAUCUUCUAUCGCUUGCGAGAAAAAAGCAAAACAGGAUGCCUUAGGCAAUCCAAAAAGCUGUUCGUCCGUACGUUUAUACAGCCGAACAUGCAGAAUGAGAAAACAGUUUGGGUCUUUCAAAAUUGAUUAUGAUCUUUUUUUGAACUUGUUCCAAUCGAUUAUUGUUCUAUCGUCUGUUUAUCGUUUUAUCUCUCGUCGUAUCAUCGUGUGAUUGCUGAUGAAAUAUGAAAAAUGUCACAACUCCUGUUUCUGAUUAUCGUUCCGGCGCGAAGUAAGAUGGAUUCUUCGAGUAGAGGACCAUGAGGAUCAGAAGGGCGAGGACGAACAGGCGGCUACCAUGACUCGAAUAAAGCGUCACGACGCCUGCCAGCCACCAUAACGUUGGACAACCACCCGGUGCCGAGCUGAUCCCUCUUUGAAUCGCUGCAGGAUGCUCCCCUAUACCGUUUCCCAUAUCUGUAAUCUGUAAUCGUGAAAACUCCGUGGAAGUUUUUUUUAGAUAAAAAAAUCGAUAUGGCUGUUUUAAGAGAUCCGUUUUCGUUGCGUUUAGACUUCUAAUUGGAUUUGAACCAAGAAGUUGACGAAGGAUUGACCCGAAACUGUGUUGAAUUAUCGGAAUGCGAAAAUAGGACUCACCAUUUAACACGUGAAGCUGCACGCUCGCGCUGUCCAAACUGCUCGGACUGCAAGUGUAAUUUCCCGAAUCU